rnacentral:rRNA from 1 species
AGCAGCCGCGGUAAUUCCAGCUCCAAUAGCGUAUAUUAAAGUUGUUGCAGUUAAAAAGCUCGUAGUUGAAUUUCGAGAUCAAUUUGUUGGUCGUGCCUCGGUACGUACUGGCAAUUUUGAUUUCUCCCUUCUGAAGAACCAUGAUGUCAUUAAUUUGGUGUCAUGGGGAAUCAGGACCGUUACUUUGAAAAAUUAGAGUGUUUAAAGCAGGCUCGCGCUUGAAUACAUUAGCAUGGAAUAAUGAAAUAGGACGUUUGAUUCUAUUUUGUUGGUUUCUAGGAUCGACGUAAUGAUUAAUAGGGAUAGUUGGGGGCAUUAGUAUUCAAUUGUCAGAGGUGAAAUUCUUGGAUUUAUUGAAGACUAACUACUGCGAAAGCAUUUGCCAAGGAUGUUUUCAUUAAUCAAGAACGAAAGUUAGGGGAUCGAAGACGAUCAGAUACCGUCGUAGUCUUAACCAUAAACUAUGCCGACUAGGGAUCGGAUGAUGUUAAUUUUUUAAUGUACUCAUUCGGCGCCUUAA